rnacentral:rRNA from 1 species
UACGGAGGAUGCGAGCGUUAUCCGGAUUUAUUGGGUUUAAAGGGUGCGCAGGCGGAGGCACAAGUCAGCGGUAAAAUCGCGGGGCUCAACCCCGCUCCGCCGUUGAAACUGUGUCCCUUGAGUGCGCGAAGGGUAGGCGGAAUGCGUGGUGUAGCGGUGAAAUGCAUAGAUAUCACACAGAACACCGAUUGCGAAGGCAUCUCACGAAUCCGCUAUUGACGCUGAAGCACGAAAGCGUGGGUAUCGAACAGG